UACAGGGGGGGCAAGCGUUUGUUCGGAAUUACUGGGCGUAAAGGGUUUGUAGGUGGCUUGCUAAGUCAGACGUGAAAUCCCUCAGCUUAACUGGGGAACUGCGUCUGAUACUGGAUGGCUUGGAUUUGGGAGAGGGAUGCGGAAUUCCAGGUGUAGCGGUGAAAUGCGUAGAUAUCUGGAGGAACACCGGUGGCGAAGGCGGCAUCCUGGACCAAUAUUGACGCUGAGGAGCGAAAGCCAGGGGAGCAAAGCGGG
rnacentral:rRNA from 1 species